AGAGACAAGUUUGUGCGACGCCGAGCGGGCCUGGAGGCGCACGGCUGGCAUGGGCCUAGGGCCCGCCCUUCACUAGGGGCCACCAGGCCUGCAGCAUGACUGGGGGAGGCCAGCCUCCAGAGGCAGGCUGCAGGCGGGGGUCUGAAGGGCUUGUGAGGAGGCGCCAGGUGGAGGGCCAGAGCUGCACAGGGGUGAAAGUGCUUUGGUGGGGGUGGCAGCCAUGGGAAGGAGAGGAGGCCUGGGGCAGGGGUGGCAUAGCCGCAGGUAACUCCAAGCCCUGGUUUUCAAUAGCCUCGCAAGUUACCGAACAGCUGGCAGGGGCCCCGAGGCCAGUUCUGUGGGGCUUCCCCCUCCUCUUGGCAGGGAGGGCUGGAGGUGCCCCAAAGCCAUUCUGAGGAAUACGUGGACUCCUCCCCAUGCAGACCUCCCGCCUCUGCGGCUCAGUGCCCCAGGAAAGCCUGGGGUCUCCGGCGCGCUUUCUCUAACUGCUGCAGGGCCCGAGGGACCAGCGGUGGCCAGAACCUGUCCCCAUCGCUCUCAGUCCCAGGCUCGCAGCCGCAUCGCAGGCGGAGGAGGGUUCACCCAGAGAGCUUAGAAAACAGGGCAGUGCUGGCUGUGCGGGCAGGGCCUGGGAAUCUGCCUGUGAGCCCUGCGGUGGCUUUGGUGCACCAUCCGGUUCAGAACCUGGAACCUGAGGGCCUCAAAGGGAACCCCAGGAGGGCGGAGCUAUGCCGGCCUCCAGUCUACGGUUGGGGAAACCGAGGCUCCGAGGCUAAACAGCUCCCGGAAGUUGCAAUGCCGGCCGGCUGUGCAGAGAGAUUUCUUACCCUGAGCGACAGCGGGAAAAGAGUGGUCUUGGGGGCUAGCGCCGGCUGGGAGGAUGGAAGUCUGGGCAGAGCCCCGGGUGGUCCCCUAGCCAGAUCCGCUCCUGGGAGCCCGUCCCAGCACCUGCCUCUCGCAGCCCUCUGCUCUCACGUCUUGGCCCCUGCAUGUGGCUCGUGUGCACACGCCAGGGCUGCGGAUGUCUGUGGGCUCACACUUUUCCCUCAGGGCUUGGACGGUCUUGUGCUGACUUCCCGGCGGUGGAGAGAUCAGAGCUGUAACUACCACUGCCCGCACCGUCCGCCCUCUGCUUCUGAAGCCCAGAGACUUCACACACACACACACACACACACACACACACACGCACUGCAUAACUUUCUAGCAUCGGUGUUUCCCACUUUAGAUUAUGGUCUGUAUUUAUCUCAGAAAAGUUUUCUUCUGCUGUAUCACUUGCAUAUUUUUUUCUCUUUCACUUCUCUUGUCUUCUUGCUUGUCUGUGCUCCUUCGUCUGUUGUCUCCUCGUGAAUUGCUUUUAACUCUGUUCUUUUCCAUUUCAUUUUGUAUCUUUUCCACAAGCUGGUCUUCUGUAUUCCUGACUGGGUUUUUGACAAUGGCUAUUCUUAUUUUUUGAAUAAUAGUGUUUUUUGAAUAAAAGUAGCUUUUAUUUCUGUCAAGGUUUUAU